GACGAACGCUGGCGGCGUGCUUAACACAUGCAAGUCGAACGGAAAGGCCCUGCUUUUGUGGGGUGCUUGAGUGGCGAACGGGUGAGUAACACGUGAGUAACCUGCCCUUGACUUUGGGAUAACUUCAGGAAACUGGGGCUAAUACCGGAUAGGAGCUCCUGCUGCAUGGUGGGGGUUGGAAAGUUUCGGCGGUUGGGGAUGGACUCGCGGCUUAUCAGCUUGUUGGUGGGGUAGUGGCUUACCAAGGCUUUGACGGGUAGCCGGCCUGGGAGGGUGACCGGCCACAUUGGGACUGAGAUACGGCCCAGACUCCUACGGGAGGCAGCAGUGGGGAAUAUUGCACAAUGGGCGGAAGCCUGAUGCAGCAACGCCGCGUGCGGGAUGACGGCCUUCGGGUUGUAAACCGCUUUCGCCUGUGACGAAGCGUGAGUGACGGUAAUGGGUGAAGAAGCACCGGCUAACUACGU
rnacentral:rRNA from 1 species